GGCCUGGGUCUAGGGACCCAGGGCUCAGGCAUUUUCAGUGUAUGUUUAUGUUUUCCGUGUGUUGUAUUGGUUUGCUCUCCGUCUCUCCAUGUGUCUCUGUGUGAGCUUCCGGAGGUGUGGGUUCGCUGAGGAGACUGCGAACCCGGAAGUGGUCUACUCGAGAGACAGCCGCACCUGCCGCUCGUCGUCCUCUGCCAGCUGCAGCAGAUUACGCUCGUCUAGGAACGGCAUUUAGGACUGCAGCUGAGCUGAGGCCGACGCUGGAUCCUUGAGUCAGAACUCGAAUCGGGAGCGGAGUACGCCUCUAAAGUCACGGUGUGGGAAUUGGAGUUUUUUGGAGUCGCCACCUUUCACUUCUCACGGACAUCUGCACUGUGUGGGAUUCAGGGAGAAUCACCACGGGACCACAGUGCUGGGAUUUUGUAUAUAGUUGUGUGUUUUUCACCUCCUGUAAAUAAAUCCACUGUCCUUCACUUAGAGUCUCGCGUUUGGGCCCUGCUUUCACUGUCACUCCACGGUCUGCCAUCGCAGCCCGUGACA